AGAACUGAGGACAGAACUUGGCACGUGGCCGGGGCAUGAACUGAAAAGAACACUGUGUUCACAUCUACCUGCCUGACCCCUGUAACGCCGGCCUCUGGGCCCUUGAACCGUGGCCUGCACCCUCGUUUAACACACUUAAAAAACUGAAGCAUAGUUGAAAUACAGUGUCAUGUGAGUUUCAGGUGUACAGUGUUGUGGUUUGACAAUUCUGUACCUUAUGCUACGGUCACCGCGGACUGAAACUCUCUCCAUUAAACAACGACCUCCCACUCCCCCCUCCCUCUGGCCCCUGGUUUGAGAUUUUUCAUAACGAAGUGUGAGCACACACGUAUCUGAGGAACCAGCGAUCGCAGUCCCGGAUACGGGUCCGUACCUGAUAGAAAUGACCGCUCAUGUCCAGCAACAGGCACGCGUGAAUGACACCCAGCAGCGCCACCCACAAUAGCCCCAAAGAGGAAACAACGCAAGUGUCCAACAGCAGUCGAAAGUAUAAAGAAACUGUGUUGUAUUCCCAUGGUUGAGAGCUACAACAGUGCUGGAGAGCA